rnacentral:rRNA from 1 species
UACGGAGGGUGCAAGCGUUGUCCGGAAUCAUUGGGCGUAAAGAGUUCGUAGGUGGUAUGUUAAGUCUGGUGUUAAAGGCAGAAGCUCAACUUCUGUAAGGCAUCGGAUACUGGCAAACUUGAAUGCGGUAGAGGUAAAGGGAAUUCCUGGUGUAGCGGUGAAAUGCGUAGAUAUCAGGAGGAACAUCGGUGGCGAAAGCGCUUUACUGGACCGUAAUUGACACUGAGGAACGAAAGCCGGGGUAGCAAAUGGG